rnacentral:rRNA from 1 species
AUUGAACGCUGGCGGCAUGCCUUACACAUGCAAGUCGAACGGCAGCACGGGAGCAAUCCUGGUGGCGAGUGGCGAACGGGUGAGUAAUAUAUCGGAACGUGCCCGGUCGUGGGGAUAACGUAGCGAAAGCUACGCUAAUACCGCAUACGAUCUACGGAUGAAAGCGGGGGAUCGCAAGACCUCGCGCGAUUGGAGCGGCCGAUAUCAGAUUAGGUAGUUGGUGAGGUAAAGGCUCACCAAGCCGACGAUCUGUAGCUGGUCUGAGAGGACGACCAGCCACACUGGGACUGAGACACGGCCCAGACUCCUACGGGAGGCAGCAGUGGGGAAUUUUGGACAAUGGGCGCAAGCCUGAUCCAGCAAUGCCGCGUGCAGGAUGAAGGCCUUCGGUUGGUAACUAGCUUUUGUUACGGUAACG